ensembl:lncRNA
CAUUGGACAAGCACGAAGGCCAGGAGAAGAAAGACACAUGGGUAGAAGGAGAGAAUUGAGUAAGCUAUUAUCAGCUGCCUCUUACCAGGAGGAGAAUAAGCUCUUACAUUCUGCUGAAUGAAAGAAUAUUGCAGACUGGAAAGAUGAGAAAAGGGGAACUGAAUUAGGAAACAGAACCUCUAAUUGCCUUGCAACACACUGUGACUUCCUACUCCUGCUGCCAGCCCUGACACCCUGCACACACAAAUCCCCUCCCACUGAAACACCCUUAAGUGGAGAAGUCAC